CAGUGAUAAACUGGAGGAAGGUGGGGAUGACGUCAAGUCAUCAUGGCCCUUACGACCAGGGCUACACACGUGCUACAAUGGCGCAUACAAAGAGAAGCGACCUCGCGAGAGCAAGCGGACCUCAUAAAGUGCGUCGUAGUCCGGAUUGGAGUCUGCAACUCGACUCCAUGAAGUCGGAAUCGCUAGUAAUCGUGGAUCAGAAUGCCACGGUGAAUACGUUCCCGGGCCUUGUACACACCGCCCGUCACACCAUGGGAGUGGGUUGCAAAAGAAGUAGGUAGCUUAACCUUCGGGAGGGCGCUUACCACUUUGUGAUUCAUGACUGGGGUGAAGUCGUAACAAGGUAACCGUAGGGGAACCUGCGGUUGGAUCACCUCCUUACCUGAAAGAA
rnacentral:rRNA from 41 species